GAUGCUUACUCGAUGUUUGUACAUGAUACCAGCGUCCAAGCGAAUGCGUUAAGUAAGCCUCCUGGGGAGUACGUUCGCAAGAAUGAAACUCAAAGGAAGUGACGGGGCUCCGCACAAUCUGCUGGAGCAUGUGGUUUAAUUCGAUGAUACGCGAGGAACCUUACCUAGGCUCGAAUGGUCUCGGCCUGUCUCGGAAACCAGAUUUUCGCUUCGGCGACUGAAACCAAGCUGCUGCAUGGUUGUCGUCAGCUCGUGCCGUGAGGUGUUGGGUUAAGUCCCGCAACGAGCGCAACCCUUGUCCUUAGUUGCCAGCAUUUAAGGUGGGGACUCUAAGGAGACUGCCGGCGUAAGCCGUGAGGAAGGUGGGGACGACGUCAAAUCAUCAUGGCCUUUAUGCCUAGGGCUACACACGUGCUACAAUGGUGCAUACAGCGGGUAGCGAAGCUGCGAAGUGGAGCCAAUCCUGAAAAGUGCAUCNCAGUUCGGAUUGAAGUCUGCAACCCGACUUCAUGAAGGUGGNAUCGCUAGUNAUCGCGCAUCAGCCAUG
rnacentral:rRNA from 1 species